AACGAACGCUGGCGGCGUGCCUAAAACAUGCAAGUCGAACGGCCGGACGGGGCUUUCGCCUUCUGAGUGUGGCGGGCUGGUGGGUAACACGCGGGUGGAAUACCUUCUUGUUGGGGAUAGCUAUUAGCGAUAGUAGGUAAUAACGACCGUGACCGUUCCUGAACGGGGGGGUUGAGAAAAGAAAGUCGGGCUUGCUUUCACGAAUGGCUGGAGCCCCGCUGAAUUUGCUGGUUGGUAAGGUAACGGCCCACCAAGGCAAUGAUGGGUAGCCGGCCUGAGAGGGUGAUCGGACACAUUGGAACUGAGACACGGCCCAGACUUCUACGGGAGGCAGCAGUAAGGAAUAUUCCGCAAUGGGCGAAAGUCUGACGGAGCGACGCCGCGUGGAUGAUGAAGGCCUAAAGGUCGUAAAAUCCUUUUAUGCGUGAUGAACAUGUGUGGAAGUGAAUGAGCAUGUGGUGACGGUAGCGAUUGAAUAAGCACCGGCUAACUACGUG
rnacentral:rRNA from 1 species